rnacentral:rRNA from 1 species
GAAAGGAUUUAUUCGGUAAAAGAUGGGCCCGCAUCUGAUUAGCUAGUUGGUGAGAUAACAGCCCACCAAGGCAACGAUCAGUAGCCGACCUGAGAGGGUGACCGGCCACAUUGGGACUGAGACACGGCCCAAACUCCUACGGGAGGCAGCAGUGGGGAAUAUUGCACAAUGGGGGGAACCCUGAUGCAGCAACGCCGCGUGAAGGAAGACGGUUUUCGGAUUGUAAACUUCUAUCAAUAGGGAAGAAAGAAAUGACGGUACCUAAAUAAGAAGCCCCGGCUAACUACGUGCCAGCAGCCGCGGUAAUACGUAGGGGGCAAGCGUUAUCCGGAAUUACUGGGUGUAAAGGGAGAGUAGGCGGCAAGGUAAGCGAUAUGUGAAAGCCUUAGGCUUAACCUGAGGAUUGCAUAACGAACUAUCUAGCUAGAGUACAGGAGAGGAAAGCGGAAUUCCUAGUGUAGCGGUGAAAUGCGUAGAUAUUAGGAAGAACACCAGUGGCGAAGGCGGCUUUCUGGACUGAAACUGACGCUGAGGCUCGAAAGCGUGGGGAGCGAACAGGAUUAGAUACCCUGGUAGUCCACGCUGUAAACGAUGAGUGCUAGGUGUCGGGGAGGAAUCCUCG